rnacentral:rRNA from 1 species
AGAGUUUGAUCAUGGCUCAGGAUUAACGCUGGCGGUAUGCCUAACACAUGCAAGUCGAACGGAAUACUAAUUAAGAGAAUCUCACACUAGUGAGAGGUUCUCACGAGUAGUAUUUAGUGGCGGACGGGUGAGUAACACGUUGGAACCUGCCCCGAAGUGGGGAAUAACUGCUCGAAAGAGUAGCUAAUACCCCAUAGUAUCCGGUUUAUCCGGAUUAAAGAUUUAUCGCUUUGGGAGGGGCCUGCGUCUGAUUAGCUAGUUGGUGAGGUAAAAGCUCACCAAGGCGACGAUCAGUAGCUGGUUCGAGAGGAUGACCAGCCACACUGGGACUGAGAUACGGCCCAGACUCCUACGGGAGGCAGCAGUGAGGAAUCUUCCACAAUGGGCGCAAGCCUGAUGGAGCAAUACCGCGUGCAGGAAGACGCUUUUCGGAGUGUAAAUUGCUUUUGUCGUCGAAGAUUAUGACUGUAGACGAAGAAUAAGGACCGGCUAACUACGUG